AGUGCCCCGUGUGGGGCGAUGCGGCGGCCGCUCCGCUGCGGCUGCGUCCCGCUGCUGUCCCCGCUGCUGUCCCCGAUUCUGUCCCCCGCGAUGCUCCUCUUAGUGCACAACCAACACCGGCACCAGCCGUGUGGGCCUCGCCGUGCGCUCCCGGCCGCGCCAUCCCGCCCCUACUCCUCCCACGCCGCCCUCGCUCCACGUUUCCCCGACGGCGUGUUAAUUCCCGACACAAAUGAGAUAAAUCACUCUGCCUUGAAAAGUUUCCAGUCUGCCUGCCAAAUCCUGGGAAUCUGAAACAGCGGGAAGCAAGUGGUGCAGCAGAACAGCUCCAUGCUGGCCCAGACCCCACGCCUGGAAUUUGGCAACCACAGCUAGAGUCUCCCCAGCCUCAGCCUCAGGAGAGAAGCAAGGCUGGGAUCAGCAACAUAGCUCACAUCCUGGUGCAUUAAUAGAAUCAUUGGGAAGACCCCAACUCCUGCAACUGCAGCCUGAGACAGAGGGACAGAACCUUCACCUGUGACAGGCACUUUGCUGGUCUCCUGAACCUGGCAAAAAGGACAUCAGUGCAAGGAGCAUAAAAAGCUCUUUUGCUGCUGAGGAAGAGGUGCUUGGUGUCAUGUAGGAGA